UGGGUCGUAGAAGGAGAGCA
rnacentral:misc_RNA from 1 species